UACAGAGGGUGCAAGCGUUAAUCGGAAUUACUGGGCGUAAAGCGCAUGUAGGUGGUUGAAUAAGUUUGAUGUGAAAGCCCUGGGCUUAACCUGGGAACUGCGUUGAAUACUGUUUAACUUGAGUCGGACAGAGGGCUGUGGAAUUUCCGGUGUAGCGGUGAAAUGCGUAGAGAUCGGAAAGAACACCAGUGGCGAAGGCGGCAGCCUGGGUCCAGACUGACACUGAGGUGCGAAAGCGUGGGGAGCAAACAGG
rnacentral:rRNA from 1 species